rnacentral:rRNA from 1 species
UACGUAGGGGGCAAGCGUUGUCCGGAUUUAUUGGGCGUAAAGAGCGUGUAGGCGGCCAGGUAGGUCGGCUGUGAAAACUGGAGGCUCAACCUCCAGCCGUCGGCCGAAACCAUCUGGCUAGAGUCCGGGAGAGGAGAGUGGAAUUCCUGGUGUAGCGGUGAAAUGCGCAGAUAUCAGGAAGAACACCCGUGGCGAAAGCGGCUCUCUGGAACGGUACUGACGCUGAGACGCGAAAGCGUGGGGAGCGAACAGG